rnacentral:tRNA from 1 species
GUUUUAAUAGUUUAAUAAAAACAUUGGUCUUGUAAACCAAAGAUAAAGUACAUCUUUUUAAAACU